AAACGCUGGCGGCGUGUCUUAAGCAUGCAAGUCNAGCGGCAGGCGCAGCAAUGCGCUGAGAGCGGCGGACUGGUGAGUAACGCGUGGGUAAUCUACCUUUGGCAUGGGGAUAGCCACUAGAAAUAGUGGGUAAUACCGAAUACGUUCCCUGGGGGGAGGUUUCAGGGAAGAAAGGGUGCUACGGCACCGGCCAAAGAUGAGCUCGCGUCCCAUUAGCUAGUUGGUGAGGUAACGGCCCACCAAGGCGAUGAUGGGUAGCCGGCCUGAGAGGGUGUACGGCCACACUGGGACUGAGAUACGGCCCAGACUCCUACGGGAGGCAGCAGCUAAGAAUAUUCCGCAAUGGACGAAAGUCUGACGGAGCGACGCCGCGUGGAUGAUGAAGGCCGAAAGGUUGUAAAGUCCUUUUGCUGGGGAAGAAUAAGUGUGGGAGGGAAUG
rnacentral:rRNA from 1 species